GCCUCCUGAAGUACUGGGAUUUCAGGCAUGAGCAACUGUGCCCAGCCCAUUUAAUUUCUUUCUGGAAGCUCAGUAGGGUAGUUUCUUGUGUUUUUGCUGAAAAGCCGUGAAAACCAUUUAAGUUUGCAAAAAUGUACACUAAGAAAUGAAGAAUGUUUCCUAAAAUCUUGUGUGACCACAUUACAGAGGAAUCAAAAAACUAUGAGAUCACUGAAAAUAGACUUUACAUUUAGUCACUUACUGAUGGAAGAAAAAACUGAUAGACUUAAUAUAGAGGAUCACAAAGAGUGAAUGUAAGACUAGACUAGAAGAAAUUCAGAUUCCCCAUGCAGGCUCCUUCUUUCCUAUAUAUAUUCUAUGCAGAGAAGCAAUAAAGCUUAUGAACAAAAGCACAGGCUUCAAAACUCGGUUUCUUGAGCUGAGUUCAGCUCCAGCCCUUAUUAGCUCCGUGAGGUUGGCCAAGUUGCUUAACCUUCCUUAGCCCCUUUCCUCAUCUGUGGAGUAUAACACCACCUAGCACAUAGGAUUGUUGAGAUGAUGAGACAGGAUAGACAGCUAAAUUAGAUAGCAAUUACUUGGAAUAGCACUUGGUACGGUUAUGUGGUAAGCACAAAAUAAACAUUAGUUAUGAGUGUUUGAUGCCAUGCCUAUUUUUAAAGGCAAGUUUACCAUAAAAUGUAGGGUAAUUAAACUGACCAGCUAAAGUCCAGUAUAUAAAAUGUUAAAUACAUUUUAAGAGCCCUGGAAGAAUGUCUAUUUUAUAGGAAACGGCAUGAGAGUGGUUAGUCUUGAGGAGAUAUUACACUUGAAAAGGAAUGAAGAAAAGGUAGGGCACAGUAAAGACAAGGGAUAAGUACCUCCUUUUCAUCACUUAUUCAUCCAUUAAACAUUCACUGAUUGUCCACUAUAUGCUAAAGACCAUACCAGGUCAUCUUAAGUCAGCGGUUCUCAAAGCGUGGUCCACAGGUCAAAACCACUUUUAUGAUAAUACAAAGAUGAUUUUCUCAAUGUGUUGAGAUUUGCCCUGCUGGUGUAAACACAACGGUGACUGGAACUGCUGGGCAUGCAUCAAGACAGCGGUACCAAUUUGUCACUGUGUUCUUCACCACCAUACCCAGUACGGGAAAUCCCUUCCUUUUAUCAAUGUGAACGUUUUCUUUUUCUAAUAUCAUAUAAUCCGUUAAGACUGAUAAAUUUCCGGAUAAAUUUCUGAAAUCUUUACAUGUGAGACUGGUUUAUGAUGAUCAGGUUUAGAUAUUAAAGGUAUGCUGGAUUCAUAAAAGAAAUUGGGAGGAAGACCUGGAAGGCUGCCUGAGGCGUGAGUCUGACCGUGCGCGAUGGCAGAAGCCUCGGCGACGGGCGCCUGCGGAGAGGUGAUGGCGGCGAUGGCACCUGCGGAAGGCUCCUCGGCCCGGCGGGCUUGACUCUGGCCCGGAGCUUCUCCAACUACCGGCCCUUCGAGCCCCAGGCGUUGGGCCUCAGCCCUGCCUGGCGGCUGACGGGCUUCUCCCGCAUGAAGGGCUGAGGCUGCAAGGCCCAGCAGGAGACGCUGCUCAAACUCCCGGCGGGACUGACGCGGCCGGACGUGCGGCCCCUACUGGGCGGGGCCUGGUAGGCGGUCCGGAAGAGGCGUCCCAGGAAACCGGAGCGGGCCCCAGCCCCACUUUUCCAACCGUGGGCAUCAGGAUGGACUCCUGCAUCAUUCCCCUGAGGCAUGGGGGCCUGUCGCUAGUGCAGACCACGGCCUUCUUUUACCCCUUGGUGGAGGAUCCCUACGUGAUGGGCACAUAGCUUGUGCCAACGUGCUGAGUGACCUCUACGCCAUGGGCCUUACUGAGUGUGACAACAUGUUGAUGUUACUCAGCGUCAGCCAGAGUAUGAGAGAGGAGGAACGCGAAAAGGUAAUGCCACUCACAGUCAAAGGCUUUCGGGAUGCGACUGAAGAAGAAGGGACUGCAGUGGCAGGUGGGCAAACGCUGCUCAACCCUUGGAUUAUAAUCGGUGGAGUCGGCACUGUGGUAUGCCAGCCAAAUGAAGUCAUAAUGCCCAACAGGGCGGUGACUGGGGAUGUGCUGGUGUUAACCAAACCGUUAGGAGCCCAGGUUGCUGUCAAUGCCCACCAAUGGCUGGAUAAUCCUGAAAGAUGGAAUAAAGAUGGCGGUCUCCAGAGAAGAGUGGAGCUGGCGUAACAGGAAGCCAUGUUCAGUAUGACUACCCUCAACAGAACUGCUGCAGGUUUAAUGCACACAUUUAAUGCCCAUGCCGCCACAGACAUCACAGGCUUCGGCAUUCUAGGACACUCCCAGAACCUUGCGAAACAACAAAGAAACGAAGUGUCCUUUGUUAUUCAUAAUCUGCCAAUAAUUGCCAAAAUGGUUGCCUUCAGCAAGGCCAGUGGACGGUUUGGGCUUCUACAAGGAACCUCAGCUGAAACCUCUGGGGGAUUACUGAUUUGUCUGCCCAGAGAACAGGCGGCCCGCUUUUGUUCAGAAAUCAAAUCCUCCAAGUACGGAGAGAGUCACCAAGCGUGGAUCGUUGGCAUUGUGGAAAAGGGAACCCGAACGGCCCGGAUCAUUGACAAGCCGCGAGUUAUUCCUACCUCGUGGGGCCACAGCUGCUGCUGUUGCUCCUGACAAUUCAAAUGCCUCCUCUGAGCCUUGCUCGUGAGAUGAAAGAACAGAAGUUGUUUGGACCCUGGAGCUGUUGUACACAAUCACGGAUGGUUCUCAAGAGUUGAUUUUAAGAAAUUUCCAAAGGCUGCCUGCAUAGUGGUUCCAACUGCCCUUUCUAGGUGAUUGGAAUCAGCCCAUCAAAAGCAGCCUUUAUGUACAUUCCGAGGCCAGAGUAAUAUUUUGAACUUUGUGGGGGAUGUUUGUUCAUCACUUGGGUAGAGGAGGAGCAGAAAUAUCUCUGUUUUCUCUUUCCAAAGUAAGAUGAGGCUAUUCCAGGUUGAGGGAUUUUUCUUUGCACUGGGUUAAUUUCUGCACAGUGAUUGAGAUGAUUUAUUAAAACCACACACACACAAAUUGCAAAAUGAAAAAAUUUAGGUCAGAAGCAAAUGAGUUUUGGACCAAUACUGUUGAUAAAUCUAAAUUGUUAAGAGAGAUCUUAUAAUGCAACCUCAAAUUCUUUAUUAGACUUUACUGAGUACUGGCUCUUUCCUGCUCUAAACAAGAAUUGCGCAGCUUGUCAUGACUGGGAAAGGAGGACCUGCAACCAUCUGGCUUGGUCUCUGUUAAUGACGUCUCUCCCUCUAAACCCCAUUAAGGACUAGGAGAGGCAGAGCAAGCCUCAGAGCCCCGGCCUUGGUGGUUAUUAAGAUGUUAAGUCAUUUGCUGCAAAUUUCUGGUGCUCAAUAAAGAGUAAUUUCUUCCUAAAUAAAAAAAUAAUUGGGUGGUUUUCCAUCUUUUUCCAUAGCUUUGAGUAGCUUAAAGAUAAAACACAGCUAUUAUCUGGCCUUUCUUCCUUUCUCAGUAAUAGAGCCUUACAUUUCAAAUUUACUGUGGUGUGACUAGUCAAUUAAAAAUUUCAACUUCUUUUUGAGUCAAUAUUCAUUCUUUAAAGUACCGUAACUUAACAGACAAGCCUUGGUGUUACAUGUCAUGUCAUUUUUUCCCUCCUGGGACAUAAGGAUUUUAAGCAAGCUUUUCUUCUGGACUUUUUUCUGUUAUACAAAACACAAACAUCCAUAAAGAUACUUGUGUUUGAAUAGUCACCUUUCCAUGGUGUCAGUUACUUGCUGAAUAGCACAGGAAGGAGGAAGAGCUACAAUUUCAGCAUGUUAUCAAAAAUAUUCUCUAAUUAAAUCUGUCUUCCCUAAAAGCAUGUCUCCCUCCCCUUGGUUUGCAGCCUUCAAAUUAUUAGAGCUUACAGUUAGUGAGGCUUCUCUUUCAGUUUCUAAUUUCCCAGCUGGUCUUCUGUAGAGGAUUUGAGCCUACAAUGAUCAGUUGGGCCUUUUACAGAAAUCUGUAUCUGGCACAAAGUCUGAAACAUUUGUAUCAGAUUUCAGGCCGCUCCCUCAAAGCA